rnacentral:tRNA from 1 species
GCGACGGUAGUCUAGCGGUAGGACAUAACCCUGCCACGGUUGUAACCCGGGUUCGAAUCCCGGCCGUCGC